GUUAUCCUACGGGGCGCAGCAGUGGGGGAUAUUCCACAAUGGGGGAAACCCUGAUGCAGCGACGCCGCGUGAGCGAUGAAGUAUUUCGGUAUGUAAAGCCCUAUCAGCAGGGAAGAAGAAUGACGGUACCUGACUAAGAAGCACCGGCUAAAUACGUGCCAGCAGCCGCGGUAAUACGUAUGGUGCAAGCGUUAUCCGGAUUUACUGGGUGUAAAGGGAGCGCAGGCGGCACGCUAAGCCUGAUGUGAAAACCCGCGGCCCAACCGCGGGAGUGCAUUGGGAACUGGCGAGCUA
rnacentral:rRNA from 1 species